UGUAGUCAUAUGCUUGUCUCAAAGAUUAAGCCAUGCAUGUCUAAGUAUAAGCAAUAUAUACAGUGAAACUGCGAAUGGCUCAUUAAAUCAGUUAUCGUUUAUUUGAUAGUACCUUACUACUUGGAUAACCGUGGUAAUUCUAGAGCUAAUACAUGCUAAAAACCUCGACUUCGGAAGGGGUGUAUUUAUUAGAUAAAAAACCAAUGCCCUCCGGGGCUCCUUGGUGAUUCAUAAUAACUUAACGAAUCGCAUGGCCUUGUGCCGGCGAUGGUUCAUUCAAGUUUCUGCCCUAUCAGCUUUGGAUGGUAGGGUAUUGGCCUACCAUGGCUUUAACGGGUAACGGAGAAUUGGGGUUCGAUUCCGGAGAGGGAGCCUGAGAAACGGCUACCACAUCCAAGGAAGGCAGCAGGCGCGCAAAUUACCCAAUCCCGACACGGGGAGGUAGUGACGAAAAAUAACAAUACGGGACUCUUUUGAGGCCCCGUAAUUGGAAUGAGUACACUUUAAAUCCUUUAACGAGGAUCAAUUGGAGGGCAAGUCUGGU
rnacentral:rRNA from 1 species